rnacentral:rRNA from 1 species
AAAGAAGUACAAAAGGGCGUAUGGAGGAUGCCUAGGCUCUCAAAGGCGAGGAAGGACGUGAUAAGCUGCGAAAAGCUGCGGGGAGGGCACAUACCCACUAUAUCCGCAGAUGUCCGAAUGGGGCAACCCGGCUGUUUGAAGAACAGUCACCUGGCAACAGGAGCAAACCCGGAGAACUGAAACAUCUAAGUACCCGGAGGAAAAGAAAAUAAACAAUGAUUUCCUGAGUAGUGGCGAGCGAAAGGGAAACAGCCCAAACCGCAUCUGUUACGGCAGUUGCGGGGUUAUAGGACCACUUUUUAACGAUUUACUAUCAACACAAACGGCAUGGGAAGGCCGGGCAAAGAAGGUGAAACCCCUGUAGUGGCAAGUAGUAGAUCGUGUAGUGGCAUCCUGAGUAGGGCGGGGUCGGAGAAGCCCCGUCUGAAUUCGGCAGCACCAUCUGCCAAGGCUAAAUACUUAGAGAGACCGAUAGUGAACUAGUACCGUGAGGGAAAGGUGAAAAGAACCGGGCAUACCGGAGUGAAAAGAACCUGAAACCAUACGCUUACAAGCGGUCGGAGCAGACUUGAUCUGUGACGGCGUGCCUUUUGCAUAAUGAGCCUACGAGUUACUGUUUCUAGCAAGGUUAAGCAUUUGAAGAUGUGGAGCCGCAGCGAAAGCGAGUCUGAACAGGGCGUAUAGUUAGAGGCAGUAGACGCGAAACUUUGUGAUCUACCCAUGAGCAGGUUGAAGGCGCCGUAACAGGUGCUGGAGGACCGAACCAGUUUCCGUUGAAAAGGAUUUGGAUGACUUGUGGGUAGGGGUGAAAGGCCAAUCAAACUGAGAAAUAGCUCGUACUCCCCGAAAUGUUUUUAGGAACAGCCUUGUGGAGAGUGUGCUAGAGGUAGAGCUACCGAUAGGACUAGGGGGAGUCACAUCCUACCAAAUCCUGACGAACUCCGAAUGCUAGCUACAUAUACACAGGAGUGAGGGCAAGGGUGCUAAGGUCCUUGUCCGAAAGGGAAACAACCCAGCCCAACAGCUAAGGUCCCAAAAUUUCUACUAAGUUGAACAAAGGAAGUCUACCUGCAAAGACAGCCAGGAUGUUGGCUUGGAAGCAGCCAUUCAUUUAAAGAGUGCGUAACAGCUCACUGGUCGAGCGGGUGGGGCAUCGAUAAUAAACGGGCAUCAAGUAGAAUACCGAAGCUUUGGAUUUGUAGUAAUACAAGUGGUAGGGGAGCAUUCCUGCAGCAGAGAAGCAGAAGGCGGCAAGCCACUGUGGAGCGGCAGGAAAAGCAAAUGUAGGCAUAAGUAACGAUAAGACGGGUGAGAAACCCGUCCACCGCAAGACUGAAGGUUUCCUGAUCAACGUUAAUCGGAUCAGGGUUAGUCGGGGCUAAGAGGUUAGGGAAACCGAAGCUUCGAUGCACAACAGGUUAAUAUUCCUGUACUCAUCUAUUGAGUUUAGCUAUGACGGAGUAAGAUAGAGUCUGCGCACAGACGGAAUUGUGCGUUAAAGGCGUUUAUGGCGCUGAUAGUACCCUAAGGCUUCGGCUGCGGGGAUAAUGACUCCAAGGAGCUUCCAAGAAAAGUAGCCUAAACAAUUGAUAGAGGACCCGUACCGCAAACCGACACAGGUAGUCGAGUCGAGUAGACUCAGGUGCUCGAGUGAAUCACGGCUAAGGAACUCGGCAAAAUAGCCCUGUAACUUCGGGAGAAGGGGCGCUUACUUCUAGCAAUAGGAGAAGCCGCAGCGAAAAGGCCCAGGCGACUGUUUAACAAAAACACAUGGCUUUGCAAAAACGAAAGUUGACGUAUAAGGCCUGACACCUGCCCGGUGCUGGAAGGUUAAGGGGGAUGUUACCGCAAGGGAAGCAUUGAACUGAAGCCCCAGUAAACGGCGGCCGUAACUAUAACGGUCCUAAGGUAGCGAAAUUCCUUGUCGGGUAAGUUCCGACCUGCACGAAUGGUGUAACGAUCUGGGCGCUGUCUCGGCCGUGAGCUCGGUGAAAUUGUAGUAGCGGUGAAGAUGCCGCUUACCCGCAACGGGACGGAAAGACCCCGUGCACCUUUACUAUAGCUUAACAUUGACUUUGGGUAAAUCAUGUGUAGGAUAGGUGGGAGGCAGUGAAGCGGUGUCGCUAGGCAUCGCAGAGCCAACGUUGAAAUACCACCCUUGAUUUACUUAGAGCCUAAUCCGGAAACGGAGACAUUGUUUGGUGGGUAGUUUGACUGGGGUGGUCGCCUCCAAAAGAGUAUCGGAGGCUUUCAAAGGUACCCUCAGUACGCUUGGUAACCGUACAUUAGAGUGCAAUAGCAGAAGGGUGCUUGACUGUGAGACCAACAAGUCGAUCAGGUGCGAAAGCAGGAUAUAGUGAUCCGGUGGUUUCCAAAUGGAAGGGCCAUCGCUCAAAGGAUAAAAGGUACGCCGGGGAUAACAGGCUGAUCUCCCCCAAGAGCUCACAUCGACGGGGAGGUUUGGCACCUCGAUGUCGGCUCGUCACAUCCUGGGGCUGGAGAAGGUCCCAAGGGUUCGGCUGUUCGCCGAUUAAAGUGGCACGCGAGCUGGGUUCAGAACGUCGUGAGACAGUUCGGUCCCUAUCUGUUGUGGGCGUAAGAGAAUUGAAGAGGCGCUGACCUUAGUACGAGAGGACCGGGUUGGACAGGCCGCUGGUGUAUCUGUUGUGGUGCCAACUGCAGUGCAGAGUAGCUAUGCCUGGAGCAGAUAAGCGCUGAAAGCAUCUAAGUGCGAAACUGACCUCAAGAUGAGUUCUCUUUAUAAGGGUCGUUUGAGACUAAAACGUGGAUAGGUGGCAGGUACAAGAGUUGAAAGACUUUCAGCCGAGCCAUACUAAUUACCCAAACACUUCUUUA